AAUAUUCGACAAUGGGGGCAACCGUGAUCCAGCUAUGCCGCGUGUGUGAAGAAGGUCUUCGGAUUGUAAAGCACUUUAAGUUGGGUGGAAGGGCUUUAGGUUAAUACUCUGAAGUUUUGACGAUACCUACAGAAUAAGCACCGUCUAACACUGUGCCAUCAGCCGCGGUAAUACAGAGGGUGCAAGCGUUAAUCGGAAUUACUGGUCGUAAAGCGCGCGUAGGUGGUUCAGUAAGAUGGGUGUGAAAUCCCAGGGCUUAACCUGGGAACUGCUUUCAUAACUGAUGAGCUAGAGUACGGUAAAGGGUAGUGGAAUUUCCUGUGUAGCGGUGAAAUGCGUAGAUAUAGGAAGGAACACCAGUGGCGAAGGCGACUACCUGGACGAAAACUGACGCUGAGGCACGAAAGCUAGGGGAGCAAAC
rnacentral:rRNA from 1 species